AUCUCCAUCCGAGCUUCCACAACAACUGAUCUUCGACCGAGCUUCUACAAUUAGCAGACUUCAUCCGGACUCCUACGAGAGUCGGACUCCGUCCAAACUUCUACAAUAGAAUUGAAUCUCGGACUUCUCCAAUGUCUGACCUUCAACAGUGUCCUCAAGACUCCUCCAGCGGACGAACCUCCAUAACGCCAUCCGAACUCCAC
rnacentral:lncRNA from 1 species